rnacentral:lncRNA from 1 species
UUACAACCAAUACUGCAGCCCGUCAACAGAGGGUGCUGUUCUCAUGGUGGCUUCACCCAGCGAGGAGGCAGAUGGCGUCCAUUCUAUAUACAGUCUAUGGUAUAUACUGUUAGCAUGAUGCCAGCUCUGAACUGAUGGCACACUGUUUGAGCCAAAAGGUCUGGAGCAAGAUGAGCUGCCAACUUCAGCUAACCUGAGGCUGAAGUUGGUUAACAUGGUUAUAUUUUCUUUUCUUUUUAUGCAGUUUAUAUCAAUCAAUUAAUUAAUCUUUAUUUAUAAAACGACUAUUCACAACAAGCGUUAUCCCAAGACACUUAAAAGGCAGUCUGGACCAUGCUCCAAUUACAAUGACCCAGUGUAAAAAAUGGGAUCAAACUGAGAGUCCCAUCCUGUAAGAUCAGACCAACUCCCAUCCCAUCUCUAACCACAUGAACACUUUCAACACUUGAAGGCAGAUGAAGAAAGAGAGAGAUGGACAGAGGACAAACAUAGACAGUGUAAAUGAAGUUAAGUACAAUACUUUUCACAAAAAAAAAUAUCUAAGUAAAAGUAUAGAUUUUGAAAAAUAAGUUAAAAAGUCGAGGAACACAAAAGCUAUCCAGUCACAGAAACAUGGGUAAAAGUAAGUAGUUAAAGGUGAUUUUCUAAGUAGAGUCUUUACCAGCCUGAUGCUCAUUGGAAGCGGAUCAUAUAUCUGAGGAUGAAAGUGUGUUAUCAUCAUGUUUGACCUGUAUGGAGGCUCUGAUUGGUAGAGCUCAAUCGCCUCCUGUGAUAGUAAAUGUUGUGUAUUAUUUCCCCCGGUGCGAUAGUAAGUUAAAGUGUGUUUUGUGACAGACUGAGCAGUGUCUCUAUCAGUCAGGGUUCAGAGGAGUAAAGUGUAAAACAAUGAGGCAGAACAGAGUCAUCUAUCACUGCUGGUACUGCUCUGAAAUAGACCAUCCCCUCUGAGCACUCAGUUCUACUAAAGCUCUGUUUAAUAGUUCAGGAUCUGGUCUGGAGUCCUCUCAGAUGAAUGUUUUUACCCUGAGAACUCAGACAGACGGACAAACAGGCUGAUAUCUCUGCUUUUCAUGAGCUCUGUGACCUUUAGACACUUUAAAUACUUCUGCUAUUACUUUUCCCAGAGUGAACAACCCGCAAUGUUUGCUCGGAGGAUAAAUUUAUCCUGAUUUCUCGUUAUACCGUCAGGGUUAGGGUGGGGGGAACGAAGGGGCAGAGCUGCUGUGGUGACUCUAGAGCUGGUCAUUGCUAUGCUAAUGUUUACAGAUUACAGUCUGCUCAUGAGAUUCUUUGUGCAACUUCAUGCAGCUUAAAGGGAUAUUCUGGGGUAAAAUUAAUUAAGGUUAAAAGACGUCAUAACACCAAGUUAGAUACGAGAGAUGAAUGUUGCCGACUGCUUGCUUCUCUAGUUAUACCAACUUUAGUAACGACCGCACAAUAGCAAUACACAGCGAUCUGAGGAGCCAUAAACAAACCUCAACCAAAAAGCCACUCUAUAGCCACAAAUAAUGCUCAGAACAGCACCUAACUUCAUCAACAGUACAUAUAGGGUCCCAGCCAUAGUACUAGCCAUCAAACAUCUUUUUAACUUUGCUAAACACAACUCACCCACUCUCCUCCAGCAGCCGCUCCAUCACGGACUGCUGCGGGAUGACGCAGCUCAAGGAAGAACAUUUAUGAUAAUUUCUUCAUGGAAAUGCAAUCAGGCCGAGACACUAAGGCAGAAGAACUACCGCGUCUGCAGUGCCAAAUGAUUAAUAUGGUGAUUAUUACUUAAAGGAAAUGAUAAAGAAAUUAUCAUAAAUGUUCUUCCUUGAGCUGCGUCACCCCGCAGCAGUCUGUUAUGGACUUGCUCGAGGUCUCGCUACAAACAAGUGGUAGAGAGUAGGCGAGUUGUGUUUAGUCUCUUUGCUAAAGAAAUCAGGCAAAGUUAAAAUGAUGUUUGGUGGCUAGUGCUAUGGCUGGGACCCUAUAUGUACUGUUGAUGAAGUUAGGUGCUGUUCUGAGCAUUAUUUGUGGCUAUGGAGUGGUUUUUUGGUUGAGGUUUGCGCUUGGAGAUGUAGACCGCUGUGUAUUGCUAUUGUGCGGUCAUUGCCAAAGUUGGUAUAACUAGAGAAGCAAGUCAGCAACAUUCAUCUCUCGAGGAGGUGUCUAACUCUGUGUU